UGGGGAAUCUUCCGCAAUGGACGAAAGUCUGACGGAGCAACGCCGCGUGUAUGAUGAAGGUCUUCGGAUUGUAAAGUACUGUCAUUGGGGAAGAACGGUUUUCUUGAAAAGAUUGAGAAGACAUGACGGUACCCAAGGAGGAAGCCCCGGCUAACUACGUGCCAGCAGCCGCGGUAAUACGUAGGGGGCAAGCGUUGUCCGGAAUUAUUGGGCGUAAAGGGCGCGUAGGCGGGCUUUUAAGUCCGGUGUGAAAGAUCAGGGCUCAACCCUGAGAGUGCAUCGGAAACUGGAGGCCUUGAGGACAGGAGAGGAAAGUGGAAUUCCACGUGUAGCGGUGAAAUGCGUAGAUAUGUGGAGGAACACCAGUGGCGAAGGCGACUUUCUGGACUGUAACUGACGCUGAGGCGCGAAAGCGUGGGGAGCAAACAGGAUUAGGUACCCUGGUAGUCCACGCCGUAAACGAUGAGUGCUAGGUGUAGAGGGUAUCGACCCCUUCUGUGCCGCAGUUAACACAAUAAGCACUCCGCCUGGGGAGUACGGCCGCAAGGUUGAAACUC
rnacentral:rRNA from 1 species